rnacentral:rRNA from 1 species
GCUAUUUAGGUAGCGCCUCGUGAAUUCAUCUCCGGGGGUAGAGCACUGUUUCGGCUAGGGGGCCAUCCCGGCUUACCAACCCGAUGCAAACUGCGAAUACCGGAGAAUGUUAUCACGGGAGACACACGGCGGGUGCUAACGUCCGUCGUGAAGAGGGAAACAACCCAGACCGCCAGCUAAGGUCCCAAAGUCAUGGUUAAGUGGGAAACGAUGUGGGAAGGCCCAGACAGCCAGGAUGUUGGCUUAGAAGCAGCCAUCAUUUAAAGAAAGCGUAAUAGCUCACUGGUCGAGUCGGCCUGCGC